UACAGAGGAGCCAAGCGUUGUCCGGAUUGACUGGGCGUAAAGCGCACGCAGGCGGGUGCGCGCGUGGGGUGGUGAAAUCUGGCCGCGUUAACGGCCAAGGCGCCAUCCCAUACGGCGCGCCUGGAGCCUUGCAGAGGGCGGUGGAAUUGCCGGUGAGUGGUGAAAUGCGUAGAGAUCGGCAGGAACACCCAGGGGGAAACCAG
rnacentral:rRNA from 1 species